AUUCCAUGUUGGGGACACUUUCGGAGCAAUCCUUUGAAUCUUUCCCAUACCUCGUAAUAGGAUUCACUUUCUUUUUGUUUAAAAGCAGUGAUUUCUGCUUUGAGCCU